rnacentral:misc_RNA from 1 species
UCGCGGCUUAUCACCGGCAGUCCCCCUAGAGUGCCCAACUAAAUGAUGGCAGCUAAGGGCGAGGGUUGCGCUCGUUGCGGGACUUAACCCAACAUCUCACGACACGAGCUGACGACAGCCACGCAGCACCUCUACACAGACCUCCGAAGAGGGGACCUCAUCUCUGAGGCUUUCCUGUGCAGUUCAAACCCAGGUAAGGUUCUGCGCGUUGCUUCGAAUUAAUCCACAUGCUCCGCCGCUUGUGCGGGCCCCCGUCAAUUCCUUUGAGUUUUAGCCUUGCGGCCGUACUCCCCAGGCGGGGCGCUUAAUGCGUUAGCUACGGCACGGAUUCCGUGGAAGGAACCCACACCUAGCGCCCACCGUUUACGGCGUGGACUAC